rnacentral:lncRNA from 1 species
ACUGCGGUGUUGCCGCCCCGGAGGAGGUGGGACAACGGCGGUUGUGCCAGUCCGGGCGCUGCACCCCCUUCCCGGAACUCUAAUCGUAUCCCCAAAUAGAGGGAUGGGAACACAUUUGCUUUCGCAGUAAAACGAAACGGACAGAUUGUGAAGAAGCGGACAAACCUCGCGUUAAUAUUCGAACCAGUGGGUGUCCCCAUUGGCACGGAUCACACCCCCAUCUUUUAAUCCCUCCCUCCGCCCGUGUCCCCUCAUUUGCUAGACUUGUCCUCUUCCAGGCCUAGUGCUCGGCGCUUCUGAGAGGAAUAGGCUCACAGAAUAGCGGCGCUGCCGAGACCCCUGGGGUACGCGAGGCAGGGGGAUUCCGCCCCUUUGGAAGGUGGCCGAGACCCUCAGCCACUAAAGGACUUCGUCGAGACAGGAGAGCCCGCAGAGAUCGUUCUCUUCUGGAUAACCAGAUUAUUCCACAAUCAAACUUUAACCCUUUUGGGGGCGCUGUUCCCUUUAACAAACUCUGGAAAAUGUACACAAUCUUGUGCACAACACGAGAGUUAUGGACCUGGGUUGAGAAACGCUGCUUUCUUUUGUUCCCCCUUGGUGACAUCACUUAAACCCAGCCCUCUCUUCGCUGAUACUUUUCUGUGCAUGAGGCUAGGUUGAGAGACAGUGAAGCUAGGCUGGGUACCAGCUCAUUCUCAUCAGCCACAAUGCCCGGCCUAGUCUUGUUCCCUGGUUUGUUUCCACUUUUCCAAUUCUCUCGGCUCCUGACCUUGGCUUUGUGUCCAGUUUUCCACUGUGACCCUGACCUUUGGACUUGGCAGCGAAACUUUAUUUCCCUAACUUUGAUCUUGGGCAUUAGUCUUCAUUCUCCUCAGCCCCACCUCAUCAGAACUUCCCCAUCCUGGUCAUCUACCUUCCCGCAGUUCAUCCUACCCAGCCUACCUGACCAUGCCAUCCCUUUCGACAAAGAUAUUCACACAGGAACAGAUUUGGGCUACCUUGGAAAAGAAGCCAAAGAGCCAGUCAGAUCUUUAUGAAGCCAUGAAAGC